UACGUAGGGUGCGAGCGUUGUCCGGAAUUAUUGGGCGUAAAGGGCUCGUAGGCGGUUUUGUCGCGUCGGGGAGUGAAAACACCGGGCUUAACUCGGUGCUUGCUUUCGAUACGGGCAGACUAGAGGCAUGCAGGGGAGUCUGGAAUUCCUGGUGUAGCGGUGAAAUGCGCAGAUAUCAGGAGGAACACCGGUGGCGAAGGCGGGACUCUGGGCCGAUACUGACGCUGAGGAGCGAAAGCGUGGGGAGCAAACAGG
rnacentral:rRNA from 1 species